rnacentral:rRNA from 1 species
AUUGAACGCUGGCGGCAUGCUUUACACAUGCAAGUCGAACGGCAGCGCGGGGGCAACCCUGGCGGCGAGUGGCGAACGGGUGAGUAAUGCAUCGGAACGUAUCCUGUAAUGGGGGGAUAACGUAGCGAAAGUUACGCUAAUACCGCAUACGCUCGAGAGAGGAAAGUGGGGGAUCGCAAGACCUCACGUUAUAGGAGCGGCCGAUGUCCGAUUAGCUAGUUGGUGGGGUAAAGGCCUACCAAGGCGACGAUCGGUAGCUGGUCUGAGAGGAUGAUCAGCCACACUGGGACUGAGACACGGCCCAGACUCCUACGGGAGGCAGCAGUGGGGAAUUUUGGACAAUGGGCGAAAGCCUGAUCCAGCCAUGCCGCGUGCGGGAAGAAGGCCUCGGUUGUAACG